rnacentral:misc_RNA from 1 species
AACGCACAUUGCGCCCCUUGGUAUUCCAUGGGGCAUGCCUGUUCGAGCGUCAUUUGUAUCUUCAAGCUUUGCUUGGUGUUGGGUGUUUGUCCUGCUCUAUGCGUGGACUCGCCUUAAAUCAAUUGGCAGCCGGUAAUCUGGUGUUAAGAGCGCAGCACAUUGUGCGCUCUUCGCUGUGUAUUGCGGCGUCCAUUAAGCCUAUAUUUUCUGCUCUUGACCUCGGAUCAGGUAGGGAUACCCGCUGAACUUAA